rfam:Thielavia terrestris NRRL 8126 chromosome 1, complete sequence.
CCCCUUGUGGUGUAGUUGGCUAUCACGUUCGGCUGUAAAGGAGUUUACUUGAUACCGAAAGGUCACCGGCUCGAUUCCGGUCGAGGGGA